rnacentral:rRNA from 1 species
UUUACUCAUGGAGCUGAAAUCAGUCGAAGAUACCAGCUGGCUGCAACUGUUUAUUAAAAACACAGCACUGUGCAAACACGAAAGUGGACGUAUACGGUGUGACGCCUGCCCGGUGCCGGAAGGUUAAUUGAUGGGGUUAUCCGUAAGGAGAAGCUCUUGAUCGAAGCCCCGGUAAACGGCGGCCGUAACUAUAACGGUCCUAAGGUAGCGAAAUUCCUUGUCGGGUAAGUUCCGACCUGCACGAAUGGCGUAAUGAUGGCCAGGCUGUCUCCACCCGAGACUCAGUGAAAUUGAACUCGCUGUGAAGAUGCAGUGUACCCGCGGCAAGACGGAAAGACCCCGUGAACCUUUACUAUAGCUUGACACUGAACACUGGUCCUUGAUGUGUAGGAUAGGUGGGAGGCUUUGAAGUGUGGACGCCAGUCUGCAUGGAGCCAUCCUUGAAAUACCACCCUUUAAUGGCUGGUGUUCUAACGUGGACCCGUUACCCGGGUUGCGGACAGUGUCUGGUGGGUAGUUUGACUGGGGCGGUCUCCUCCUAAAGAGUAACGGAGGAGCACGAAGGUUAGCUAAUCCUGGUCGGACAUCAGGAGGUUAGUGCAAAGGCAUAAGCUAGCUUGACUGCGAGAGUGACGGCUCGAGCAGGUGCGAAAGCAGGUCUUAGUGAUCCGGUGGUUCUGAAUGGAAGGGCCAUCGCUCAACGGAUAAAAGGUACUCCGGGGAUAACAGGCUGAUACCGCCCAAGAGUUCAUAUCGACGGCGGUGUUUGGCACCUCGAUGUCGGCUCAUCACAUCCUGGGGCUGAAGUAGGUCCCAAGGGUAUGGCUGUUCGCCAUUUAAAGUGGUACGCGAGCUGGGUUUAGAACGUCGUGAGACAGUUCGGUCCCUAUCUGCCGUGGGCGCUGGAGAAUUGAGGGGGGCUGCUCCUAGUACGAGAGGACCGGAGUGGACGCAUCACUGGUGUUCGGGUUGUCAUGCCAAUGGCAUUGCCCGGUAGCUAAAUGCGGAAGAGAUAAGUGCUGAAAGCAUCUAAGCACGAAACUUGCCCCG